CCAACUUAUUACAUAUAUAAUCAACUCGUCCCAUACAACUUAGCAGACACCGAAUUUGUAAACCCAACUUCUUCCAAUAAUUGACGUACCCACAAAACUUCACAAACGGUUUUUGCCAUGACUCGACAUUCAGAUUCAGCACUAGAACGGGAGACCACAUUUUCUCAGCUUGGUAAAACGCCUUACACACAUCAUAAAUACGAGAAAUAUUCCUUUUGCCAGAAUAUAGAAAUUCCAAAUACUUCAUUAAUUCUUUAACAAAUUCAGAAUGAUUAAUAAGACUAAUCACCUUACUAUGAAUAGAAUUUCGAAUCCGUGAACAAUACUCGAUGAACAGUACUCGUGACUCUUGAACCGUACCCGAUGAACAAUACUCAUGAACAGUACCCGGUGAACAGUACUCGUGAACAGUACCCGAUGAAUAAUUCCCAUGAAUAAUACCUAAUGAACAGAGCCCUAAGUCUCCAAAUGUUACCUUUUAUGGAUAACCCAAAUGAACAGAG
rnacentral:lncRNA from 1 species